rnacentral:rRNA from 1 species
GGUUAAGCGACUAAGCGUACACGGUGGAUGCCCUGGCAGUCAGAGGCGAUGAAGGACGUGCUAAUCUGCGAAAAGCGUCGGUAAGGUGAUAUGAACCGUUAUAACCGGCGAUGUCCGAAUGGGGAAACCCAGUGCAAUUCGUUGCACUAUCGUUAACUGAAUACAUAGGUUAACGAGGCGAACCGGGGGAACUGAAACAUCUAAGUACCCCGAGGAAAAGAAAUCAACCGAGAUUCCCCAGUAGCGGCGAGCGAACGGGGAGCAGCCCAGAGUCUGAAUCAGCUUGUGUGUUAGUGGAACGGUCUGGAAAGUCCGACGGUACAGGGUGAUAGUCCCGUACACCAAAAUGCACAGGCUGUGAACUCGAAGAGUAGGGCGGGACACGUGGUAUCCUGUCUGAAUAUGGGGGGACCAUCCUCCAAGGCUAAAUACUCCUGACUGACCGAUAGUGAACCAGUACCGUGAGGGAAAGGCGAAAAGAACCCCGGCGAGGGGAGUGAAAAAGAACCUGAAACCGUGUACGUACAAGCAGUGGGAGCACCUUCGGGUGUGACUGCGUACCUUUUGUAUAAUGGGUCAGCGACUUAUAUUCUGUAGCAAGGUUAACCGUAUAGGGGAGCCGCAGGGAAACCGAGUCUUAACUGGGCGUUAAGUUGCAGGGUAUAGACCCGAAACCCGGUGAUCUAGCCAUGGGCAGGUUGAAGGUUGGGUAACACUAACUGGAGGACCGAACCGACUAAUGUUGAAAAAUUAGCGGAUGACUUGUGGCUGGGGGUGAAAGGCCAAUCAAACCGGGAGAUAGCUGGUUCUCCCCGAAAGCUAUUUAGGUAGCGCCUCGUGAAUUCAUCUUCGGGGGUAGAGCACUGUUUCGGCUAGGGGUCAUCCCGACUUACCAACCCGAUGCAAACUACGAAUACCGAAGAAUGUUAUCACGGGAGACACACGGCGGGUGCUAACGUCCGUCGUGAAGAGGGAAACAACCCAGACCGCCAGCUAAGGUCCCAAAGUCAUGGUUAAGUGGGAAACGAUGUGGGAAGGCACAGACAGCCAGGAUGUUGGCUUAGAAGCAGCCAUCAUUUAAAGAAAGCGUAAUAGCUCACUGGUCGAGUCGGCCUGCGCGGAAGAUGUAACGGGGCUAAACCAUGCACCGAAGCUGCGGCAGCGACACUAUGUGUUGUUGGGUAGGGGAGCGUUCUGUAAGCCUGCGAAGGUGACCUGUGAGGGUUGCUGGAGGUAUCAGAAGUGCGAAUGCUGACAUAAGUAACGAUAAAGCGGGUGAAAAGCCCGCUCGCCGGAAGACCAAGGGUUCCUGUCCAACGUUAAUCGGGGCAGGGUGAGUCGACCCCUAAGGCGAGGCCGAAAGGCGUAGUCGAUGGGAAACAGGUUAAUAUUCCUGUACUUGGUGUUACUGCGAAGGGGGGACGGAGAAGGCUAUGUUAGCCGGGCGACGGUUGUCCCGGUUUAAGCAUGUAGGCUGGUUAUCCAGGCAAAUCCGGAUAAUCAAGGCUGAGGUGUGAUGACGAGGCACUACGGUGCUGAAGUAACAAAUGCCCUGCUUCCAGGAAAAGCCUCUAAGCAUCAGGUAACAUCAAAUCGUACCCCAAACCGACACAGGUGGUCAGGUAGAGAAUACCAAGGCGCUUGAGAGAACUCGGGUGAAGGAACUAGGCAAAAUGGUGCCGUAACUUCGGGAGAAGGCACGCUGGUGUGUAGGUGAAGUCCCUGCGGAUGGAGCUGAGACCAGUCGAAGAUACCAGCUGGCUGCAACUGUUUAUUAAAAACACAGCACUGUGCAAACACGAAAGUGGACGUAUACGGUGUGACGCCUGCCCGGUGCCGGAAGGUUAAUUGAUGGGGUUAUCCGUAAGGAGAAGCUCUUGAUCGAAGCCCCGGUAAACGGCGGCCGUAACUAUAACGGUCCUAAGGUAGCGAAAUUCCUUGUCGGGUAAGUUCCGACCUGCACGAAUGGCGUAAUGAUGGCCGGGCUGUCUCCACCCGAGACUCAGUGAAAUUGAACUCGCUGUGAAGAUGCAGUGUACCCGCGGCAAGACGGAAAGACCCCGUGAACCUUUACUAUAGCUUGACACUGAACAUUGAGCCUUGAUGUGUAGGAUAGGUGGGAGGCUUUGAAGCGUGGACGCCAGUCUGCGUGGAGCCAACCUUGAAAUACCACCCUUUAAUGUUUGAUGUUCUAACGUUGGCCCCUUACCGGGGUUGCGGACAGUGUCUGGUGGGUAGUUUGACUGGGGCGGUCUCCUCCCAAAGCGUAACGGAGGAGCACGAAGGUUAGCUAAUCCUGGUCGGACAUCAGGAGGUUAGUGCAAUGGCAUAAGCUAGCUUGACUGCGAGCGUGACGGCGCGAGCAGGUGCGAAAGCAGGUCAUAGUGAUCCGGUGGUUCUGAAUGGAAGGGCCAUCGCUCAACGGAUAAAAGGUACUCCGGGGAUAACAGGCUGAUACCGCCCAAGAGUUCAUAUCGACGGCGGUGUUUGGCACCUCGAUGUCGGCUCAUCACAUCCUGGGGCUGAAGUAGGUCCCAAGGGUAUGGCUGUUCGCCAUUUAAAGUGGUACGCGAGCUGGGUUUAGAACGUCGUGAGACAGUUCGGUCCCUAUCUGCCGUGGGCGCUGGAGAAUUGAGGGGGGCUGCUCCUAGUACGAGAGGACCGGAGUGGACGCAUCACUGGUGUUCGGGUUGUCAUGCCAAUGGCACUGCCCGGUAGCUAAAUGCGGAAGAGAUAAGUGCUGAAAGCAUCUAAGCACGAAACUUGCCCCGAGAUGAGUUCUCCCUGAGACUUUAAGUCUCCUGAAGGAACGUUGAAGACGACGACGUUGAUAGGCCGGGUGUGUAAGCGCAGCGAUGCGUUGAGCUAACCGGUACUAAUGAACCGUGAGGCUUAACCUU